rnacentral:piRNA from 1 species
UAGGGAGCCUAGAAAAGCAGU